rnacentral:rRNA from 1 species
GACGAACGCUGGCGGCGUGCUUAACACAUGCAAGUCGAACGGAAAGGCCCUGCUUUUGUGGGGUUCUCGAGUGGCGAACGGGUGUGUAACACGUGAGUAACCUGCCCUUGACUUUGGUAUAACUUCAGGAAACGGUGGCUAAUACCGGAUAGGAGCUCCUUCUUCAUGGGGGUGGUUGGAAAUUUUCGGCGGUUGGGGAUGGACGCGCGGCUUAUCAGCUUGUUGGUGGGGUAGUGGCUUACCAAGGCUUUGACGGGUAGCCGGCCUGAGAGGGUGACCGGCCACAUUGGGACUGAGAUACGGCCCAGACUCCUACGGGAGGCAGCAGUGGGGAAUAUUGCACAAUGGGCGGAAGCCUGAUGCAGCAACGCCGCGUGCGGGAUGACGGCCUUCGGGUUGUAAACCGCUUUCGCCUGUGACGAAGCGUGAGUGACGGUAAUGGGUAAAGAAGCACCGGCUAACUACGUG